CUGUGCAUCUCUUGCAGAGCCCGCGAUGACAGAGAAGUUGCCGCAGAUUGCAGAGGCUGUGCAGUGUGUGUGCAGUGACCCAAGGACUGGGGUGAGGAGGGCCAUUCUGCACUUCAUCAAGGAUCUGCUCAGCACUGACACCUGGAGCUGCUCAGCCUGGGAUGUGGUGGGGCACAUCUUCAGUGAGUUCAGCCGCACCACGAGAAGAAGGGCAGCCGGAGUCCUUUCUGCCCAGGAAGCCAAAGAAGAGGGAGCUCUCCAAGAGCUGUGUAUGGACAUC